rnacentral:rRNA from 1 species
GUAACUCUAACUGUCCUAAGGUAGCGAAAUUCCUUGUCGGGUAAGUUCCGACCUGCACGAAUGGUGCAACGAUCUGGACACUGUCUCAGCCAUGAGCUCGGUGAAAUUGUAGUAUCGGUGAAGAUGCCGAUUACCCGCAGUGGGACGAAAAGACCCCGUGAACCUUUACUAUAGCUUAGUAUUGGCUUUGGAUAAGUAAUGUGUAGGAUAGGUGGGAGACUUCGACCCUGCGUCGCCAGGCGUGGGUGAGUCAUUGUUGAAAUACCACCCUUUGCUUAUCUAGAGUCUAACCUCUGAUCAGGGACAGUGCUUGGUGGGUAGUUUGACUGGGGUGGUCGCCUCCAAAAGAGUAACGGAGGCUUCUAAAGGUUCCCUCAGCACG